UACGUAGGGGGCAAGGCGUUGUCCGGAAUCAUUGGGCGUAAAGAGCGUGUAGGCGGCCCGGUAAGUCCGCUGUGAAAGUCCAGGGCUCAACCCUGGGAUGCCGGUGGAUACUGUCGGGCUCGAGUCCGGAAGAGGAGUGUGGAAUUCCGUGGUGUAGCGGUGAAAUGCGCAGAUAUCAGGAGGAACACCUAUUGCGAAGGCAGACUCCGCU
rnacentral:rRNA from 1 species